AUGAAUAUAAAUGCUACUGAGAGAAGAGAUGGAAAUGGUCAUAGGGAGACGCAACAUCGUCCUACAGAGAGAAGAGAUGAAAAUGGUCAUAGGAAAGUGGCCAGUAGUAUUUCUCGUUCUCUCAAACUUAUCGCUUGCUGCUCUUUGAUGUGGAAGAUAGGGGGGAUUCUCAUCAGAUGGAAGAAAAGCAGGGAAGAGAAAUACCAGAGUAAGAAAAAGGAAAGAAAGGUGAGGCACAGUUUGUUUGCACAUCAAUCUCGAAAAAAGAAAUUCCACACUAAUAUACCAGGAACGAUUAUAGAAUUGAUAAAGGAUGUAUAUAUCACUGAAGAAAAUGGUGUGUGUAUGACUAUGAGCAAUACCAAACUUCCACAAUUCACACUGUAUCACAAACAUAUAUACUAA
rnacentral:rRNA from 1 species